rnacentral:rRNA from 1 species
AUGGUUUUGGUUCCUAAUUGUUUCGCACAACUCAAUAUUCAGAUAAGCUCGCUAGCUCAAGUGGCAAUAGCAGGUCUUUUGGAACUGGAGCUCCUGCGUUCGAUCGCUGCCUCUAAUCCCCCUCGCGUUCGGCCGCUGCCUCACCGGUCACCAGGACGCGCCGCCGCUCGGCGCUUACCCACUCUGCCGCCUGUCCUUCUCAUCGGUAGUUCGGCGCUGACCGCCGGUGGCCGGAGGCCCGAAGCAAGCGCCGCAAGCAGCCGACCCGCCGACCCGGACCAGACGGCCACACUGCCGCUCAGGAGGAGCUCCUCUCGCCUGCGCCUCCCGUACCGACGGUCGACGCCCUCGUCUCCUCCGGCCCUCCCCGCUCCCAGUGCCAGCCGUGGCCUCGGCCUCGUGGCACGAUGGCGGAAGAGGACGUUGACUGGACACAUGUGUUUGAUCGGGUCAAAGGUUCAAUCUUUUUCAUCCUGUUUGCUCCGAAACAAGACUAGCUUGAAGAACUCAAAAUCCUGGCUGAUGAGGUCAAGACGACCAACCGGACUGCUAAUCAUGACAAGUGCACAUGGAUUGAGCCAUCUUUUCAAUGCGUCUCGGCCUUUGACACGAGAGACAUUGGAUAUGAUGGACAUUACUGUCUUAUGUGAUCACCAGGAAGAAACUAUUCAGGAAGCUAGGUUGGUUAAUGCUGUCAGGAAGUAUGGCACUGCAACGGUAGCUGGAGUUGAUUCAAGUGAAGAUACAAUUGUUCUGAGUGUUGAGAACAACAGCCUCAAGAAUUACUCAGACGAUGGCGUAUGCGCCCAAGCACACCCUGCCCUUGAGAUCUCUGCCAACACGCCAACAAAUCGCAGGCAGUGCAUGAUGGUGUCUUGGCCGUCCUAUAUGCCUAGAACGAUCUCUAUGGGUACAACCAUUUCUUCAAGGGGGAUCGGCGUGCGUGAUCCUUUGGGGUACAACAUGAAUGUAUUGGAAGUCGACAUGAGAACUGCUGAGAGCUCGUCCGGGGCGCCACUGUUCAACUCAAACGGCGAGGUCAUUGGUAUUCUGCAAGGGAGACUGAGUCGGACCCGCUCGAUCUUCGUGGCGGGGUCGCAUCUGCAUGAAUGGGUCCAAGCAGCUCAUGUAUGGCGAUACCGCAGGCAUGUGUUCCUCAGAUAUGCUUAUGUGGUGUUCACUCCCCCCUCAUCCAUGUGUUUUCUCUUCUUUUUCAGAUAUGUUGUUUGUUUGUGUCUUCAUUCUUCUUCUGGUUUGGUCUACGUUUAUAUGCCCAUCUUGUGGGGGCUGUGUUGUUUUCUGAAUGUGAGCUUAGCCAAGAGUGUUUGGUUCAGAGACAUGAUUGAAAAUGUAGCUAGAUUCGCGCACUGCUAUGUUGCUUCAUGCAUGGUCUUCACCGCCAUUAUGCACGGACACAAAAUUCGGACGCUCGGAUGGGAUUUCUGCUUUGGUAUCUGCAGUGUUCUAUAUUCAGACAUCACUGUUCAGACUUUUGAGAGAAGUAUUCGCUAA